rnacentral:tRNA from 1 species
CGCUGAGAAGCUUAUACGGACAAGCAUUAGCCUUUUAAGCUAAAGAUAGGUGAUCACCAACCACCCUCAGUGA